CGUGACAGAACAGGGGCGGGGACAUCUCACAGGUGAAGAAACUGAACCCGGGGCAGAGGGAUGCGUCUGAGGUCACAGCUGAGGCUCAGCGUGGCUCCUGUGGACUUGCAGGGGUGCCUCUCUGGUGCUCCCUGGCAGCCAGGGUUGGUGCCUCCUUUGAUGAACUGGGAGCUUGUUCCAAACGGAGGGAGAGAGAGUUGAAAAUUGCCGUGGAGCAGCGUGGAGGGAAAGAUGCGGGUACGCACGUGAAAGUCUCGACGGAUGUGAUAAUUAUUUACGGUUUCUGGCAUUGAGUGUUUUUGUUACCCAGUUAAAUAGACUCUAAAUACCACAUUAAAAUCUUGAAAAGUGCCUGGCAGAUUAAUAAAUCAUAUUAACGGCUCUGGCAUCCUGCAC
rnacentral:lncRNA from 1 species